rnacentral:rRNA from 1 species
AGCGAACGCUGGCGGCAGGCCUAACACAUGCAAGUCGAACGAUCCUUUCUGUUUUAGUGGCGGCCGGGUGAGUAACACGUAGGAAUAUGCCUUUAGGUUCGGAAUAACUCAGGGAAACUUGUCCUAAUACUGAAUGUGCCCUCCGGCGGAAUGAUUUUUCACCUUUAGAGCGGCCCGCCCUUGAUUAGCUAGUUGGUCGAGUUAAUGGUUCACCAAGGCGACGAUCAGUAGCUGGCCUGAGAGGAAGGGCAGCCACAUUGAGACUGAGACACGGCCCAAACUCCUACGGGAGGCGGCAGUGGGGAAUCUUGCGAAAUGGGCGAAAGCCUGACGCAGCCAGGCCGCGUGAAUGAUGAAGGUCGUAGGAAUGUAAAAUUCUUUAACCAGGGACGAUAAUGACGGUACCCGAAGAAGAAGCCCCGGCUAACUUCGUG